GUCGAGAAUCUUUCACAAUGGGGGCAACCCUGAUGGAGCGACGCCGCGUGGAGGAUAAGGUCUUCGGAUUGUAAACUCCUGUCAUGCGUGAACAAGGUUGCUUGGUUAAUACCUGGGCAAAUUGAUGGUAACGCAUGAGGAAGAGACGGCUAACUCUGUGCCAGCAGCCGCGGUAAUACAGAGGUCUCAAGCGUUGUUCGGAAUCACUGGGCGUAAAGGGUGCGUAGGUGGCGUGGUAAGUCAGAUGUGAAAGCCCGGGGCUCAACCUCGAACCUGCAUCCGGUACUGCCAUGCUAGAGUACUGGAGAGGGGACUAGAAUUCUCGGUGUAGCAGUGAAAUGCGUAGAUAUCGAGGGGAAUACCAAAGGCGUAGGCAGGUCACUGGACAGUUACCGACACUGAGGCACGAAGGCCAGGGGAGCGAACGGGAUUAGAAACCCUGGUAGUCC
rnacentral:rRNA from 1 species